UGGUCGAACAGACCAAGAAAAUGAAAUUCUACACCCAAAUCUGAUCUUAAUUCAACAUCGAGGUCGCAAACUUGAUUCAUCGAUAUGAACUCUCCGAAAAAAUUACGCUGUUAUCCCUAAGGUAAGUUAAACUUAUAAUCAAUAAAUAUUGGAUCAAAAAAACAUAAAUUUAUGAAAAAAGAAAAUUAAAAGUUAAAUAAAUUUUAAUGUCACCCCAACAAAACUAUACAAUCUAAAAAAAUAUUUUAAUAACAAAAAACAAAGAAUUAUUAAUAUAGUAAACUUCUAUAGGGUCUUCUCGUCCUAUAAAAAAAUUUUAGCUUUUUAACUAAAAAAUUAAAUUAAUAUAAAUUAAAAAAAGAAAGACUAUUUCUCAUCAAACCAUUCAUUCUAGCCUCCAAUUAAAAGACAAAUGAUUAUGCUACCUUCGUACAGUUAAAAUACCGCAGCCUUUUAAUCUUUCAAAUCAAUGGGCAGGCCUGAUC
rnacentral:rRNA from 1 species